rnacentral:rRNA from 1 species
UACGUAGGGUGCGAGCGUUAAUCGGAAUUACUGGGCGUAAAGCGUGCGCAGGCGGUUCGUUGUGUCGGCGGUGAAAGCCCCGGGCUUAACCUGGGAAUGGCCGUUGAAACUGGCGAACUGGAGUGUGGCAGAGGGGGGUGGAAUUCCGCGUGUAGCAGUGAAAUGCGUAGAGAUGUGGAGGAACACCGAUGGCGAAGGCAGCCCCCUGGGUCAAGAUUGACGCUCAUGUACGAAAGCGUGGGGAGCAAACAGG